rnacentral:rRNA from 1 species
UACGGAGGGGGCAAGCGUUGUUCGGAAUUACUGGGCGUAAAGGGCGCGCAGGCGGCUGCUCAAGUCAGGCGUGAAAGGCCUGGGCUCAACCCGGGAAUUGCGCUUGAGACUGGGCUGGCUUGAGUGCGGGAGAGGAUGGUGGAAUUCCCAGUGUAGAGGUGAAAUUCGUAGAUAUUGGGAAGAACACCGGUGGCGAAGGCGGCCAUCUGGACCGCAACUGACGCUGAGGCGCGAAAGCGUGGGGAGCAAACAGGAUUAGAUACCCUGGUAGUCCACGCCGUAAACGAUGAGUGCUAGACGUUGGGAGGCCUAGCCUUCCGGUGUCGCAGCUAACGCAUUAAGCACUCCGCCUGGGGAGUACGGCCGCAAGGUUAAA